AUUGAACGCUGGCGGCAGGCCUAACACAUGCAAGUCGAACGAGUGGUGGACGGGUGAGUAAUGUCUGGGAAACUGCCUGAUGGAGGGGGAUAACUACUGGAAACGGUAGCUAAUAACGCAUACCAUCAGAUGUGCCCAGAUGGGAUUAGCUUGUUGGGGGGGUAACGGCUCACAAAGGAGACGAUCCCUAGCUGGUCUGAGAGGAUGACCAGCAACACUGGAACGGAGACACGGGCCAGACUCUUACGGGAGGCAGCAGUGGGGAAUAUGGCACAAUGGGCGCAAGCCGGAUGCAGCAAUGCCGCGGGGAUGAAGAAGGCCUUAGGGUUGUAAAGUACUUUCAGCGGGGAGGCGUUACCCGCAGAAGAAGCACCGGCUAACUCCGUGCCAGCAGCCGCGGUAAUUC
rnacentral:rRNA from 1 species